UACAGAGGGUGCGAGCGUUGUCCGGAAUCACUGGGCGUAAAGGGCGCGUAGGUGGCGGCCCAAGUCCAUGGUGAAAGCUCGAUGCUCAACAUCGAGUCGGCCACGGAUACUGGGUUGCUCGAGCACUGUAGGGGCAGAUGGAAUUCCGGGUGUAGCGGUGGAAUGCGUAGAGAGUCCGGAAGAAUACCGGUGGCGAAGGCGGU
rnacentral:rRNA from 1 species